UACGGGGGGGGCAAGCGUUGUUCGGAAUUACUGGGCGUAAAGGGCUCGUAGGCGGCCAACUAAGUCAGACGUGAAAUCCCUCGGCUUAACCGGGGAACUGCGUCUGAUACUGGAUGGCUUGAGUUCGGGAGAGGGAUGCGGAAUUCCAGGUGUAGCGGUGAAAUGCGUAGAUAUCUGGAGGAACACCGGUGGCGAAGGCGGCAUCCUGGACCGACACUGACGCUGAGGAGCGAAAGCGAGGGGAGCAAACGGG
rnacentral:rRNA from 1 species